UCUCGAUUCGCUGGCGGAGGUAGGUGG
rnacentral:piRNA from 1 species